CUUCCUUAUGAAAUGGCAUUAACCAACAUAAAACUAAGCAUAAAUGUAACUAAGAUGAACACAAAAGGAACUCAUUCAAUUUGUAACUACAAAAUACAUCAGGUUUCCUUCGAUGAUUUCACAACUUUUGACACUACUACACCCACCACUACAACUAUUGACUACACUGUUAAUAUAUGACUUGCAAACACCAUAAAUCUACCAACUAAUUAUUCAAAACACCAUAACAAUCUAUUCAUUUUUCCUACAAUUUCAAUCACAAACAUCCGUAAUGUGGAUGUUAUCAUAAAAACCAAUGUGACACCCAAUCUCAGCUUAUACAACUUCAAUCUACUCAUCCUAGCACUUGUUUGGAGAAGCUACCAAGCACUUAUUGGACCUUUGAAACAGUAGACAGUAAUUUAAUAUUGGUAAAAGCCCUGACAACAACUCAGU
rnacentral:lncRNA from 1 species